rnacentral:tRNA from 1 species
GCGAAGUGCUGGGCAGAAGACGGAAGAAGUCGUCAGGAUCAGACUACGAAUCUGAGGGUCGGACGUUCGAAUCGUUCCGGGCGCGCCA